AUUAUUUCUUCGCAGCAGGUCUUCGGGCUUCGUUGAGCUGAAUUUGUACUCUUAGAAGCUGGUUAGGAAGCUGUUCUAACCAAGGUUCGCAGCGGACUUGCAACGGACCUUUAGCUUUCCUCCGGCUGAUGCGUGAGGGAUUUUAGAAGCUUAACUUGAGGUAUUUAUUGAGCCAAAGCAGGGACUAAAGCAGGAUUGAGACCUAGUGGAGCUGAUCCUGGGGAUUCCUUUGGACUGAUUUGAGCUUAGCACGAGAGCCAUCUACAGGAGAGGCUAGGGAUCGUGGCAAGGGAG